UGAAUCAGUAGUUUUAGAUUUAUGGAAAAUUUCCUGUGCCUCCUGUCAGGUAAACAUUUAUCAUUUAUUCAUGUAAGUAUCAUGACAUAUUUUUUACAUGAAAGUCAAAUUUUGGUGCUACAUACCUAUGGAUUAGGUUUUGAGAUUUGAUUUUCCUGAAAACCUAUAAAUUAAGAUAUGAUCCCAAAUGGAGACAUGACCAUUUGAGUUCCUAGGAAACUUCCUAACCAAUCGCCAAAUAGAAUUCUGAAGAUAGAAACUAGUGAUGGUUCCAUGGUUAAAUAUUCCUCCAUUGCUGGUAGGAUUGCAAACUGGUACAACUACUCUGGAAAGCAAUUUGGAGGUUCCUCAGAAAAUUGGAAAUAGAUUUACCUAAAGACCCACCAAUACCACUAUUGGGAAUAUAUCCAAUAGAUGCCCCACCAUUCCACAGGCCCACAUGUUCCAAUAUGUUCAUAGCAGCCUUAUUUGUGAUAGCCAGAAGCUGGAAACAACCCAGAUGUCUCACGGCAGAAGAAUGGAUGCAGAAAAUGUGGUUCAUUUACACAAUGGAAUACUACUCAGCUAUAAAAAAUGAGGAUAUCCUGAGUUUUGCAGGCAAAUGGAUGGAACUAGAAAAUGUCAUCCCGAGUGAGAACUGCAGGGAUGGAAAAGAAGAAGAACCUGAGGAAAAGGAAGUCCAGCAACAAGCCCAAAGUGGGAUCCAGCUCAAGGGGAGGCUCAAGGACCUGACACCUUAACUGAAGCAAUGGAGCAUUCACAAGAAGGGACCUAUCAGGACUGCUUUCCAAAAGAUCCAAUAAGCUGUAGCAGCCUCACCAGGAGCACCAGCAGUAGCACCAGCAGCACCAGCAGUAACACCAGCAGAAGCAGCAGGAACAGUGGCACAAGAGAAAAAGCAGGAGAAGCAAGAGAAGGAGAAGGCAAAAUAAUGAGUGACUGUGUCUACAUUUAUGGAAACAGUUUGAUGAGCUUCUUUGGAGAAAUAUCUACUCAAUGAGUUAAUCAUAUAGGUAAGAAAUGUUUUUUCUUUACAUUUACAGUAAGUUUACAUUUCAUAUAACUAGGAUGGCACAUUGUUCUCAUUUGUAGGCUUUUAAAACCUGUUAUUUUAUUGCUUCAGAUGCUUACACUUAGUAAGAGCAAGCUCAUAAUUUUAUGUUAUUCAAAAAAAUUUUAGUUUUCUUUGAGUAUAAUUUUUAUAGUAGUUAUUCUAGUGAUUAUAAUUAUUCCCUAGAUGUAUAAUGCCUGAGAGAGAAUGAACAAAUCUGAAGCAGCAUAGAAAAAAUGUUGAGAUACAGAGUUUAUUUACCACAUCAUCUAUGGGAUAUAUGAAAGCUAACUGCUCCUGUGGUCAGGAUUUCCUCCUAGUGCCCUAACUCUCCUAAGAAACAUUGUCAAACAAACUGAGGGUUUUUUGUCUCAUACUAAUGUUUUUAGUUUAUAGUUCACAUUUCAAAGUUAUUUAAGUGUGCAAAUUGGAAUAUAUUUCAAUCAUUGGUUCUGUUGAUACAUGUAUUACCAAUUAUUUUUUUACUUAAGGCUAUAAAGACUUGCUUAUAAGGUAUUUUGCUAUUUGAAAAGUUAUUCUAAUCUUAGGUUCAUCUUUAUCAAAAUCAUUUAAAAUUAAAUGUUUUACUCUAUGAGUGGUAAAACAAUUUAGAAUUGUUAUUUACUUCAAUGAACAAUUUUAUUAAAAAAUUAUAAAUAAUGUGUAUGCACACACACACACACACAAACACACACACACCCAC